rnacentral:rRNA from 1 species
GACGAACGCUGGCGGCGUGCCUAACACAUGCAAGUCGAACGGACUCAGUGAUUAGCACUGAGCGCAAGCGUCAUGCGAGAGCGACAGCUCGAGCAUCACGCUUUAAUCCAAGAGCAUAGCACAUGCAAGCUUGGAGCGCUGAGUGCUGAUUACUGAGUUAGUGGCGGACGGGCGAGUAACGCGUGAGUAAUCUGCCUUGUACUGGGGGAUAACGUCGGGAAACCGGCGCUAAUACCGCAUAACACUGCGAUAUCGCAUGGUAUUGCAGUCAAAGCUCCGGCGGUACAAGAUGAGCUCGCGUCCAAUUAGCUAGUUGGUGAGGUAAUGGCUCACCAAGGCGACGAUUGGUAGCCGAACUGAGAGGUUGAUCGGCCGCAUUGGGACUGAGACACGGCCCAGACUCCUACGGGAGGCAGCAGGUGGGGAAUCUUCCACAAUGGGCGAAAG